rnacentral:rRNA from 1 species
GACGAACGCUGGCGGCGUGCUUAACACAUGCAAGUCGAACGGAAAGGCCCUGCUUUUGUGGGGUGCUCGAGUGGCGAACGGGUGAGUAACACGUGAGUAACCUGCCCUUGACUUUGGGAUAACUUCAGGAAACUGGGGCUAAUACCGGAUAGGAGCUCCUGCUGCAUGGUGGGGGUUGGAAAGUUUCGGCGGUUGGGGAUGGACUCGCGGGUUAUCAGCUUGUUGGUGGGGUAGUGGCUUACCAAGGCUUUGACGGGUAGCCGGCCUGGGAGGGUGACCGGCCACAUUGGGACUGAGAUACGGACCAGACUCCUACGGGAGGCAGCAGUGGGGAAUAUUGCACAAUGGGCGGAAGCCUGAUACAACAACGCCGCGUGCGGGAUGACGGCCUUCGGGUUGUAAACCGCUUUCGCCUGUGACGAAGCGUGAGUGACGGUAAUGGGUAAAGAAGCACCGGCUAACUACGUG